AUUGAACGCUGGCGGCGCGCCUUACACAUGCAAGUCGAACGGUAACAGGUCUUCGGAUGCUGACGAGUGGCGAACGGGUGAGUAAUACAUCGGAACGUGCCUAGUAGUGGGGGAUAACUACUCGAAAGAGUGGCUAAUACCGCAUGAGAUCUACGGAUGAAAGCAGGGGAUCGCAAGACCUUGUGCUACUAGAGCGGCCGAUGGCAGAUUAGGUAGUUGGUGGGAUAAAAGCUUACCAAGCCGACGAUCUGUAGCUGGUCUGAGAGGACGAUCAGCCACACUGGGGCGGAGACACGGCCGAGACUCCUACGGGAGGCAGCAGUGGGGAAUUUUGGACAAUGGGCGAAAGCCUGCUCCAGCAAUGCCGCGUGCAGGAUGAAGGCCUUCGGGUUGUAAACUGCUUUUGUACGGAACGAAAAGCCCCGGGUUAAUACCCUGGGGUCAUGACGGUACCGUAAGAAUAAGCACCGGCUAACCACGUGCCAGCCGCCGCCGUAACAC
rnacentral:rRNA from 1 species